AAAUUGAAGAGUUUGAUCAUGGCUCAGAUUGAACGCUGGCGGCAGGCCUAACACAUGCAAGUCGAGCGGUAGCACAGAGAGCUUGCUCUCGGGUGACGAGCGGCGGACGGGUGAGUAAUGUCUGGGAAACUGCCUGAUGGAGGGGGAUAACUACUGGAAACGGUAGCUAAUACCGCAUAACGUCGCAAGACCAAAGUGGGGGACCUUCGGGCCUCAUGCCAUCAGAUGUGCCCAGAUGGGAUUAGCUAGUAGGUGGGGUAACGGCUCACCUAGGCGACGAUCCCUAGCUGGUCUGAGAGGAUGACCAGCCACACUGGAACUGAGACACGGUCCAGACUCCUACGGGAGGCAGCAGUGGGGAAUAUUGCACAAUGGGCGCAAGCCUGAUGCAGCCAUGCCGCGUGUGUGAAGAAGGCCUUCGGGUUGUAAAGCACUUUCAGCGGGGAGGAAGGCGAUAAGGUUAAUAACCUUGGCGAUUGACGUUACCCGCAGAAGAAGCACCGGCUAACUCCGUGCCAGCAGCCGCGGUAAUACGGAGGGUGCAAGCGUUAAUCGGAAUUACUGGGCGUAAAGCGCACGCAGGCGGUCUGUCAAGUCGGAUGUGAAAUCCCCGGGCUCAACCUGGGAACUGCAUUCGAAACUGGCAGGCUAGAGUCUUGUAGAGGGGGGUAGAAUUCCAGGUGUAGCGGUGAAAUGCGUAGAGAUCUGGAGGAAUACCGGUGGCGAAGGCGGCCCCCUGGACAAAGACUGACGCUCAGGUGCGAAAGCGUGGGGAGCAAACAGGAUUAGAUACCCUGGUAGUCCACGCCGUAAACGAUGUCGAUUUGGAGGUUGUGCCCUUGAGGCGUGGCUUCCGGAGCUAACGCGUUAAAUCGACCGCCUGGGGAGUACGGCCGCAAGGUUAAAACUCAAAUGAAUUGACGGGGGCCCGCACAAGCGGUGGAGCAUGUGGUUUAAUUCGAUGCAACGCGAAGAACCUUACCUGGUCUUGACAUCCACAGAACUUUCCAGAGAUGGAUUGGUGCCUUCGGGAACUGUGAGACAGGUGCUGCAUGGCUGUCGUCAGCUCGUGUUGUGAAAUGUUGGGUUAAGUCCCGCAACGAGCGCAACCCUUAUCCUUUGUUGCCAGCGGU
rnacentral:rRNA from 1 species